UACGGGGGAGCAAGCGUUGUUCGGAUUUACUGGGCGUAAAGGGCGCGUAGGCGGCCACUGCAAGUCGGUUGUGAAAUCUCCGGGCUUAACCCGGAAAGGUCAACCGAUACUGCAGGGCUAGAGUGCAGAAGGGGCAACUGGAAUUCUCGGUGUAGCGGUGAAAUGCGUAGAUAUCGAGAGGAACACCUGCGGCGAAGGCGGGUUGCUGGGCUGACACUGACGCUGAUGCGCGAAAGCUAGGGGAGCGGACGGG
rnacentral:rRNA from 1 species